AUUGAACGCUGGCGGCAUGCCUUACACAUGCAAGUCGAACGGCAGCACGGGUGCUUGCACCUGGUGGCGAGUGGCGAACGGGUGAGUAAUACAUCGGAACAUGUCCUGUAGUGGGGGAUAGCCCGGCGAAAGCCGGAUUAAUACCGCAUACGAUCUACGGAUGAAAGCGGGGGACCUUCGGGCCUCGCGCUAUAGGGUUGGCCGAUGGCUGAUUAGCUAGUUGGUGGGGUAAAGGCCUACCAAGGCGACGAUCAGUAGCUGGUCUGAGAGGACGACCAGCCACACUGGGACGGAGACACGGCCCAGACUCCUACGGGAGGCAGCAGUGGGGAAUUUUGGACAAUGGGCGAAAGCCUGAUCCAGCAAUGCCGCGUGUGUGAAGAAGGCCUUCGGGUUGUAAAGCACUUUUGUCCGGAAAGAAAUCCUUGGCCCUAAUACGGUCGGGGGAUGACGGUACCGGAAGAAUAAGCACCGGCUAACUACGUG
rnacentral:rRNA from 1 species